GUAAAAAAACAAUUGUUUAUAUGUAAUGAAAACGCAUGCAAAUAAGGUAAGUUUUUAACUUUUGUUUGACCAUUAUAAAUCAUAAUACGUGACUGCGCUUAAUAGUUAUUUUAUAAAAACGUAACCCAGCAUGAUUAACGUGAUACUAUAAUUUAGUUAUUUUUUUAUAAUAUGUAGGUAUAAGGUAUACUCAUGCAGAUUAACUUAUUUCAAUUACUUUGUACAUAACAAGACGCUUAAUAUUAAAAGUUCUUCAAUACCGGUUCGUAUAAUAAAUAAUGAUACAUAUGGGCGUUGGCCAUUUUCAUGUUUUAUAUUAUUGGUAAAGUAAGUUCUAAUCGUUUAGAAAAAUGUGUAGCGGCUAUAAUUGAUGUGCGAUGUGUCUAUUUAGUACUUGGAGCGUCGGUCGGCUGCUAUAGCCGCUUGGGGAACCAUUUUAAAUAUUUACUCUAUAUCCUCGUUAUCUUUUGUUUUUUGAUCAAUAAUUCUAUACUUUUAUUAUUUAUGAAAGAUUUUAAUAGAGAUUUAAAGACUUAGCAGGUUGCAUAAAUUACCAACAUUUAAGAUCAAUUAAAUUUAGAAAGAAAUUCAGCAUUAUCAACCCUAAUUAAUCUCUUAAAAAAUGUAUAGCUUAUUUGUUUUUAACGCAUUAAUUUUUACAAAUAAUUAUUGAAUGAUGUAUGACAUAUGAUGCGGUACUCGAGUAUUGUAUAAAAUUACUAAUAUGUAUAGACGUGUAUUUAAUACAGUACGUCAGCACGAAAUAAUUCGUAAAUUUUUUUCGUGACGAAUAACUAAAUGGACCACUGUUGUAAACAUUAAAAUUGAAAACAUGCAGUAAGGUUUUUAGAAUUGAAAAAACGCCCAAAAUUAACUCGAUAAUAGAGCAUUAAGUUCACGGUUAUAAUAAUAAUUAUGUGUCUAUACCUUAGAAUGUAUUUACUAAGGAUAGAACCAUCAUGCCGGGGAAACAAUUUUAUGCACAUCCAACAGCGACGAGUAUCUGGUUUAUAUACGCAUGCUAGGUAUAUCAUGUAAUCUGAGGUGCUCACAUACCGGACAUGAAGACGUCAAUGGGAUUGACGGACGAUGCCCUGACGCGCACCAGAACUUCUUUGGGCCCGAGGGACGCGGGCGAUUCUGCCUUGUCGUUGAGCUUGGCCGAGUCUUUAAACGGCGCGUAGGC